CAGUAGCCGCGGGAAUACGUAUGGUGCAAGCGUUAAUCGGAAUUACUGGGCGUAAAGCGUGCGCAGGCGGUUAUAUAAGACAGAUGUGAAAUCCCCGGGCUCAACCUGGGAACUGCAUUUGUGACUGUAUAGCUAGAGUACGGCAGAGGGGGAUGGAAUUCCGCGUGUAGCAGUGAAAUGCGUAGAUAUGCGGAGGAACACCGAUGGCGAAGGCAAUCCCCUGGGCCUGUACUGACGCUCAUGCACGAAAGCGUGGGGAGCAAACAGGAUUAGAUACCCCUGUAGUCCCUGUCUCUUAUAC
rnacentral:rRNA from 1 species